ACCAAUCACAGUCUACUGCAUGGUAGAUGGCUGUUCUUUACUGUGGUUGAAUCCCAAGCCAUCUGCUACAUUUCUUUCUUCCGGGAGUCACCGUUGAAGAAAAAGAGAAACCAGACUUGUCUUCUCACCAUGAAGAUGUCCAAGCAAGCAAGCAGCUAACCAGAGUUUAGAGGACUGUGGGGAAUGGGUGUCUGCGGUUACAAUGACAGAGUCUGAAACCUGAGAUGGGAGGCCCACAUGGCAAUGUGGUGGAGAGGAGAAAAUAAACAGUCAGGAAAAGGUGGAGCAUGAUGAGAGCAGAGGACGGCAGUGGUGGAAUACAGAGCAGAGCAGUGGCAUGGGGCUCUCUAAAGGCUACAAACCUGAGCAAUGUGCCGCAUGUGGCUAUUCAAACACAGCAUCACAGUGGGGUGAGAAACAAACAAAAUAAAAAAAAGCAAUUGAAAUUGUAGAGUCAUACGCAUAUACGCACCUGUUCCUUUGACUUCGAUAUGGUGCAGUGACAAGCUGCUGUUUGAAAUUCAAUGAAUUGCACCUCAGGAAAAGAAUGAAAGGAAGACAGGAGAGUGAGAGAUGGGAAAGACGAGAAUGAGACACGAGUCACUCUAAAACACUUGUGUAUCUGGCAUUUGGGACCUCUUUUAUGACUCUGUGUGUGUAUAUACUUGUGGUGUGUUUGUGUCAUAUGGAGGCACGGUCCUCUCUCUGCCUUUACCUUUUUUAGUCUAGUGUACACUUGUCAAAUUCCAGUUCCAUUUGAUGUUUAUACACAUUCCUGCAUUUCAAACAGUGGAGCGUGGCGCAAGCAACACCAAAGUAAUGAUUUCAAUUCCCAGGAAAUGCAUUACCUGAUCAAAUGUACACUUUGAAUGUGGAUAAAAGAAUCUACCAAAUGCAUAAAUUAAAAUGUACAGUGACCAGGUUAAAGGAACAGCAUUCCAUACUCUUGUAGAUAAACAACCCAUAUUUA